rnacentral:lncRNA from 1 species
UAAUAGCAUUACCAUGGGGGUCAGGAUUUCAGAAUACGAAUUUUGGGGGACAUAAACAUUCAGACCACAGUACUUGGCAAACACCCCUCUACUUUUUCCUCAGAAGAUUAGGAACACUGGGCUAAAAUCAAGGCAGUGGGAGGCUUUACUGCUUUCUGGAGGCUCUAGGGAAGAAUCCAUUUUCCUGCCUUUUCAACUAGAGGCUGCCUGCAUUAUGCAUAGGCUACCAAGUACUAUUUUUCUGACAGUUGUGAAAUAUUUGUGGUUUUUCCCCCAUUAUGGACACUUGUACUGCAGAGACCUGGAUUUCUACGCUCAUACUCACAUGUACUGGUGACCACCCUCAGAGUGAAGGCAGUGUCCUCUCUGGGCCAGUAGCUCUUCUAGAAGGGCCUAUAUGAGUCAGCCUGCAACUCAGACAUAUUCAGUGCUGCAGGCAAUGAAAUCAAUCAGAGCCUAGUUUCCCGUUGUCCUGUGAAGGUAAAAGCCCCUGGCAUGGAAUCCUAUUUAAAUCCUCAGCUCAUCCGUUAGCUAAUUUCACAAAUCCAAGAGCAGCAGAGCCUUAAGGAUCAUCUAACCUGCACCCUUCAUUUAACAGAUGGAUAGGGCUUAAAGAGUGGGGACUUGUGCAGAUUGAUGCGACCAACCAGAGCAGAAUAGGAGGAGGGACCCCUAUUACAGUUAAGAUCUUUAUGAGCUGACUAUUGCUUGAGGUCAGGAAUGUUGCAUUACGUGCUCCUAAAACAUUAGGCUUCUGUAGAGCCCCCUGCUCCCCAGGUCCUCAUGUCUCUAAGAGAUAAAACCCAGAGAUGGCGCUUCUAGACACAGCCUCUUCAUUCCGGAGAGAAGCUUCUACUCACAAUCUCGGUCAGAUUUCUCACACAGGGAGCUUGGCUGGACAUUCUAAAAACCUCAAGGAAUUUUUUCAACCCAUCUCUUAAAGCUUAGACCCAAGCUAGAGCAAAACUGUAGCUUCUUGC